UAUAUAGAGACAUUACAUUUAGUGCUCGUGAUUACUCACUGAAGUUUCCAUACUUUGGAACAACUGUAGUUAUUGGAAAUUACAUUCUUUAUAUCUGGACACAUAGUUUAUGAUGUCCCUGUAACAUACUGGUUUUACUGUAGAUGUUAGAUUUAUAACCUGGUUCCACAGAUUGGGUUAUUUAUUUCCUAUGUUUACUUAAUAAAGUGAUGUCAAAGAACCCUAGACUUGUCGUUUAUGGAUACCCCGUAAAACACGACUAUCACA